rnacentral:antisense_RNA from 2 species
UGUGGGAGCGGGCUUGCUCGCGAAUGCGGUGGGUUAUUCGGCAUUAAUGUUGACUGACACACCGCAUUCGCGAGCAAGCCCGCUCCCACA